CCUACGGGUGGCAGCAGUCGGGAAUAUUGCGCAAUGGAGGAAACUCUGACGCAGUGACGCCGCGUGCAGGAAGAAGGUUUUCGGAUUGUAAACUGCUUUAGACAGGGAAGAAAAAAGACAGUACCUGUAGAAUAAGCUCCGGCUAACUACGUGCCAGCAGCCGCGGUAAUACGUAGGGAGCAAGCGUUAUCCGGAUUUACUGGGUGUAAAGGGGGCGCAGACGGCGAUGCAAGCCAGGAGUGAAAGCCCGGGGCCCAACCCCGGGACUGCUCUUGGAACUGCGUGGCUGGAGUGCAGGAGGGGCAGGCGGAAUUCCUGGUGUAGCGGUGAAAUGCGUAGAUAUCAGGAGGAACACCGGUGGCGAAGGCGGCCUGCUGGACUGCAACUGACGUUGAGGCCCGAAAGCGUGGGGAGCAAACAGGAUUAGAUACCCUUGUAGUC
rnacentral:rRNA from 1 species